rnacentral:rRNA from 1 species
CGGCGGACGGGUGAGUAACGCGUGGGUAACCUGCCUCAUACAGGGGGAUAACAGUUAGAAAUGGCUGCUAAUACCGCAUAAGACCACAGUACUGCAUGGUACAGGGGUAAAAACUCCGGUGGUAUGAGAUGGACCCGCGUCUGAUUAGGUAGUUGGUGGGGUAACGGCCUACCAAGCCGACGAUCAGUAGCCGACCUGAGAGGGUGACCGGCCACAUUGGGACUGAGACACGGCCCAA